rnacentral:rRNA from 1 species
CCUGGUUGAUCCUGCCAGUAGUCAUAUGCUUGUCUCAAAGAUUAAGCCAUGCAUGUCUCAGUGCAAGCCGUCUAGUACGGUGAAACCGCGAAAGGCUCAUUAAAUCAGUUAUGGUUCCUUAGAUCGUACCCACGUUACUUGGAUAACUGUGGUAAUUCUAGAGCUAAUACAUGCCGACAGAGUUCCGACCAACUGUACGGAUUUGGCGGCAGUUUCGGCUGUCGUCGCCGUACGGUUCGGAAGGAACGCUUUUAUUAGAUCAAAACCGGCUAAACGGCGGUUUCGCUUUCGGGCGUCUCCGUCGUAAGCGGCCCGCGCAAAGAUUUGGUGACUCUGAAUAACUUCGAGCUGAUCGCACGGUCUUUGUACCGGCGACGUAUCUUUCAAAUGUCUGCCUUAUCAACUGUCGACGGUAGGUUCGACGCCUACCGUGGUGGUAACGGGUAACGGGGAAUCAGGGUUCGAUUCCGGAGAGGGAGCCUGAGAAACGGCUACCACAUCCAAGGAAGGCAGCAGGCGCGCAAAUUACCCACUCCCGGCUCGGGGAGGUAGUGACGAAAGAUAACGAUACGGGACUCAUCCGAGGCCCCGUAAUCGGAAUGACUACACUUUAAAUCCUUUAAGGAGUAUCAAUUGGAGGGCAAGUCUGGUGCCAGCAGCCGCGGUAAUUCCAGCUCCAAUAGCGUAUAUUAAAGUUGUUGCGGUUAAAAAGCUCGUAGUUGGAUCUGUGUCCCGGACCGUCGGUUCACCGCCCGACGGUGUCAAACUGACGCGAUCCGGGACGUCCUGCCGGUGGCGUGUCAGCUGCCCGGUUCCUUUCGGGGUUCCGGGCGGGCGGCGCCGAUUCAAUCCCGUCGCGGUGCUCUUCAUUGAGUGUCGAGGUGGGCCGGCACGUUUACUUUGAACAAAUUAGAGUGCUUCAAGCAGGCUGGAUAUCGCCUGAAUGCUAGUGCAUGGAAUAAUGGAAUAGGACUUCGGUUCUAUUUUGUUGGUUUUCGGAACCAGAGGUAAUGAUUAAUGGAGACAGGCGGGGGCAUUCGUAUUGCGACGUUAGAGGUGAAAUUCUUGGAUCGUCGCAAGACGGACCGAAGCGAAAGCAUUUGCCAAGGAUGUUCUCGUUGAUCAAGAACGAAAGUUAGAGGUUCGAAGGCGAUCAGAUACCGCCCUAGUUCUAACCAUAAACGAUGCCAACCAGCGAUCAUUCUGAGUAACUAAUUUCAUGACUCGAAUGGAAGCUUCCGGGAAACCAAAGUUUUUGGGUUCCGGGGGAAGUAUGGUUGCAAAGCUGAAACUUAAAGGAAUUGACGGAAGGGCACCACCAGGAGUGGAGCUUGCGGCUUAAUUUGACCCAACACGGGAAAACUCACCCGGCCCGGACACUGAGAGGAUUGACAGAUUGAG